rnacentral:rRNA from 1 species
AUGGAACAGCCGACCGGCGAGCAGGAUGAGCUCAACCUUGAACUCACCCUCCCCAUCCCGGCUGCACCGGGUCCCGACGAGGGCUUCUUCCUCUGCGCGCACUGCGACCGUAAGUUCCGCAGCUCGCAGGCGCUCGGCGGCCACCAGAACGCGCACAAGCACGAGCGCAGCGUGGCCAAGCGCCGGCGGCUGAUUGCCGCCGCAGCGCGCACGGAUGGUGCCGGUGCGCCUACUGCAGUGGAGGAUGAGGGCCAGACGGGGUAUGGCGGCAGAGGCGGCGGCGAUUUCCGGUCUGCGGAUGGAAAGGCGAGAAGGACCGAGCCGUGGAAGUCAGCCGCUGUUGGGAAGGCCUGCGAGCGUGGCAGGACAUCGUCGGAGCACGGCGCCGCCGACGAUGUGGACUUGGCUCUCAGGCUAUGA